AGCGGCGGAUGGGUGAGUAACACGUGGGGAACCUGCCCCUAAGUCUGGGAUACCAUUUGGAACCAGGUGCUAAUACCGGAUAAUAAAGCAGAUCGCAUGAUCAGCUUUUGAAAGGCGGCGUAAGCUGUCGCUAAGGGAUGGCCCCGCGGUGCAUUAGCUAGUUGGUAAGGUAACGGCUUACCAAGGCGACGAUGCAUAGCCGAGUUGAGAGACUGAUCGGCCACAUUGGGACUGAGACACGGCCCAAACUCCUACGGGAGGCAGCAGUAGGGAAUCUUCCACAAUGGACGCAAGUCUGAUGGAGCAACGCCGCGUGAGUGAAGAAGGUUUUCGGAUCGUAAAGCUCUGUUGUUGGUGAAGAAGGAUAGAGGUAGUAACUGGCCUUUAUUUGACGGUAAUCAACCAGAAAGUCACGGCUAACUACGUGCCAGCAGCCGCGGUAAUACGUAGGUGGCAAGCGUUGUCCGGAUUUAUUGGGCGUAAAGCGAGCGCAGGCGGAAAAAUAAGUCUAAUGUGAAAGCCCUCGGCUUAACCGAGGAACUGCAUCGGAAACUGUUUUUCUUGAGUGCAGAAGAGGAGAGUGGAACUCCAUGUGUAGCGGUGGAAUGCGUAGAUAUAUGGAAGAACACCAGUGGCGAAAGGCGGCUCUCUGGUCUGCAACUGACGCUGAGGCUCGAAAGCAUGGGUAGCGAACAGGAUUAGAUACCCUGGUAGUCCAUGCCGUAAACGAUGAGUGCUAAGUGU
rnacentral:rRNA from 1 species